rnacentral:lncRNA from 1 species
UCUUCUCUCUGCACUGUCUCUCCUUUGUGCAUCUUGGACUCCUGAAGGCCACUCAGAGCAUAGAUGCGGUUUUUAGGUUUUUGCCUGUUGCUCUUAGGGAUCCAGGGGCAGAGUUUUGCCUUAGGUGCUGAAGACAGCUGCUGGAGCCUGUUGCUUUUUCACACCACAGAUACUUCAUGCUGCCUAAUAUUCUACCGAGCCAGCCUAGGGGACUUGGAUCUGUCUCGCCUGGGGCUAAGAGAAUAGUUUCUCUAAGAAGAAAACAGUUCUAAUUCAAAGAUGCUGGAUCUGGCUUCCUUUAAAGCCUGAAGUCGCUGAAGUGGCCAUAGAACUAUGGGGUCCAGAGGACUGCCAGUCUCAGCCAGCCUUUAGGCUGGAGAGAGGCUGUGGGCCUGCUUGGGGACUAAAAUGGAUGAAUAAGAAACCUGUAAGAAAUGUAAACAGAUGGAAUGGCAAGGAGGAGAGCGCUGGAGAUUGUUCAGGUGUGAGCUGAGGUUUCUGAGUUUGUACUGGGGAUGCCUUUGCACACAGUGAGGUGCCCCCUCCCUAAGUGGCUCUUGUUUUGCACAAACAGCCCCACCCUGCGCACACACUGUGGGUCUCAGUAGGGACUGAGGGUGUAGGUGCUCAGGUUUUGGGGGUGGUGGUGAAGGGGCACUCAGAAUCAACAAGACAGGGCGGGGAAAAUCAAAAUCAACCAAGGAACCAGCCUUCCAUUUCUGAAAAGCCGCGCUCUGGCCCCCGUGCUUCAGUUCUGAAAUACGAAUAAAUGGAGUCAGAUCCCGUACUACACUCCGGGGACAGAGUUUUAAUGUAAACGUAAAAUAUGCUUGUAAUAAUCACUUGUGGGCCCUGAAGCGCCACUAGAAUGAAUCUCUGUUUAAUUAUAGGGCAUGAGAGGAGUAUUACCAGCUAAUUAAACCCCAUCCUAUUUG